GACGGAGGAGGCAAGCGUUAUCCGGAAUUAUUGGGCGUAAAGGGUACGUAGGCGGCUGGUCAAGUCUGGGGUCAAAGGCCACAGCUCAACUGUGGGAAGGCCCUGGAAACUGACCGGCUAGAGUGAGGUAGGGGUUGCGGGAAUUCCCGGUGUAGCGGUGAAAUGCGUAGAGAUCGGGAAGAACACCUGAGGCGGAAGCGCGCAACUGGGCCGCAACUGACGCUGAGGCGCGAAAGCGUGGGGAGCAAACAGG
rnacentral:rRNA from 1 species